rnacentral:rRNA from 1 species
AUGUCGACAAUAGAUCCACUUGUCCAAGGAUCCUUUUGGCAUAUACUCAUAAACCAAGAGCCUAUGGGUUUUCUCUGCACAGAAACAAAACAGUCUCACCAGAUUGAUAUGAUGAAUGCUGCCAAUUGUCUGAACCUCUGCUAAGAAUUCUCUCUUUCCUUGACCAGCUCGAUCCAAGCGUUUUGCCGCAAUCCUUUCCUCACCUAGCCGUCCCUUGAAAACAGAACCAAAUCCUCCUUCCCCAAGCUUGUCUUUGAACUGCUCGGUUGCCACUUCUAA